rnacentral:rRNA from 1 species
UACGAAGGGGGCUAGCGUUGUUCGGAAUUACUGGGCGUAAAGCGCACGUAGGCGGACUAUUAAGUCAGGGGGUGAAAUCCCGGGGCUCAACCCCCGGAACUGCCUUUGAUACUGGUAGUCUCGAGUCCGGAAGAGGUGAGUGGAAUUCCAAGUGUAGAGGUGAAAUUCGUAGAUAUUCGGAGGAACACCAGUGGCGAAGGCGGCUCACUGGUCCGGUACUGACGCUGAGGUGCGAAAGCGUGGGGAGCAAACAGGG